rnacentral:rRNA from 1 species
AGCGAACAGACGAGGAGCUUACUCCUCUGACGUUAGCGGCGGACGGGUGAGUAACACGUGGAUAACCUACCUAUAAGACUGGGAUAACUUCGGGAAACCGGAGCUAAUACCGGAUAACAUGUUGAACCGCAUGGUUCAACAGUGAAAGACGGUCUUGCUAUCACUUAUAGAUGGAUCCGCGUCGCAUUAGCUAGUUGGUAAGGUAACGGCUUACCAAGGCAACGAUGCGUAGCCGACCUGAGAGGGUGAUCGGCCACACUGGAACCGAGACACGGUCCAGACUCCUACGGGAGGCAGCAGUAGGGAAUCUUCCGCAAUGGGCGAAAGCCUGACGGGGCAACGCCGCGUGAGUGAAGAAGGUCUUCGGAUCGUAAAACUCUGUUAUUAGGGAAGAACAAAUGUGUAAGUAACUAUGCACGUCUUGACGGUACCUAAUCAGAAAGCCACAGCUAACUACGUGCCAGCAGCCGCGGUAAUACGUAGGUGGCAAGCGUUAUCCGGAAUUAUUGGGCGUAAAGCGCGCGUAGGCGGUUUUUUAAGUCUGAUGUGAAAGCCCACGGCUCAACCGUGGAGGGUCAUUGGAAACUGGAAAACUUGAGUGCAGAAGAGGAAAGUGGAAUUCCAUGUGUAGCGGUGAAAUGCGCAGAGAUAUGGAGGAACACCAGUGGCGAAGGCGACUUUCUGGUCUGUAACUGACGCUGAUGUGCG